rnacentral:rRNA from 1 species
UACGUAGGGUGCAAGCGUUGUCCGGAAUUAUUGGGUGUAAAGAGCUCGUAGGCGGUUUGUUGCGUCGGCUGUGAAAUCCCGAGGCUCAACCUCGGGUCUGCAGUCGAUACGAGCAAACUAGAGUGUUGCAGGGGAGACUGGAAUUCCUGGUGUAGCGGUGAAAUGCGCAGAUAUCAGGAGGAACACCGGUGGCGAAGGCGGGUCUCUGGGAAACAACUGACGCUGAGGAGCGAAAGCGUGGGGAGCGAACAGG